UGCACCUAAAAAUCUUCUUUUUAUCAAAUUUUAUUACAUUCUGAAGCGGUACAGAAGCCAGAAAACGCCCGGUGUUUAUGUUUGACGCCGGAAGCAUACCUAUGACGUCACCUAGUGUAGGGACCAAAGAAGAUAACAUCUUUUCGCGGAAUUUUCUUUAAUGAAGAUUUUACACUGAAAUCAUGAUUGAAAUUUAAUAAUGAAAUUGUUUUGCAUUAGAAUAGAG
rnacentral:lncRNA from 1 species